AGCGAACGUUAGCGGCGGGCCUAACACAUGCAAGUCGAACGAGAAAAUCCCUUCGGGGGUGAGUACAGUGGCGCACGGGUGAGGAACGCGUAGGUAAUCUACCCUCUGGCCGGGGGGACAACACUCCGAAAGGAAUGCUAAUACCGCGUAAGACCACACUUACUAAGGUGAGAGUGGUGAAAGGUGCCUCAAAGCACCACCAGAGGAUGAGCCUGCGUCCCAUCAGCUUGUUGGUGAGGUAACGGCUUACCAAGGCGAAGACGGGUAGCUGGUCUGAGAGGAUGAUCAGCCACACUGGUACUGGAACACGGACCAGACUCCUACGGGAGGCAGCAGUGAGGAAUAUUGGGCAAUGGGCGAAAGCCUGACCCAGCCACGCCGCGUGUGUGAUGAAGGCCUUCGGGUCGUAAAGCACUGUGGGGAGAGACGAAACAGCGCAGUAGGAAAUGACUGCGCCUUGACGGUACCUCCUUAGCAAGCACCGGCUAACUCUGUG
rnacentral:rRNA from 1 species